AGUGAACGCUGGCGGUAGGCCUAACACAUGCAAGUCGAACGGCAGCACAGUAAGAGCUUGCUCUUACGGGUGGCGAGUGGCGGACGGGUGAGGAAUACAUCGGAAUCUACUUUUUCGUGGGGGAUAACGUAGGGAAACUUACGCUAAUACCGCAUACGACCUACGGGUGAAAGCAGGGGAUCUUCGGACCUUGCGCGAUUGAAUGAGCCGAUGUCGGAUUAGCUAGUUGGCGGGGUAAAGGCCCACCAAGGCGACGAUCCGUAGCUGGUCUGAGAGGAUGAUCGGCCACACUGGAACUGAGACACGGUCCAGACUCCUACGGGAGGCAGCAGUGGGGAAUAUUGGACAAUGGGCGCAAGCCUGAUCCAGCAAUACCGCGUGGGUGAAGAAGGCCUUCGGGUUGUAAAGCCCUUUUGUUGGGAAAGAAAAGCAGCGGGUUAAUACCCCGCUGUUCUGACGGUACCCAAAGAAUAAGCACCGGCUAACUUCGUG
rnacentral:rRNA from 1 species